rnacentral:rRNA from 1 species
GGUUAAGCGACUAAGCGUACACGGUGGAUGCCCUGGCAGUCAGAGGCGAUGAAGGACGUGCUAAUCUGCGAAAAGCGUCGGUAAGGUGAUAUGAACCGUUAUAACCGGCGAUGUCCGAAUGGGGAAACCCAGUGUGAUUCGUCACACUAUCGUUAACUGAAUACAUAGGUUAACGAGGCGAACCGGGGGAACUGAAACAUCUAAGUACCCCGAGGAAAAGAAAUCAACCGAGAUUCCCCCAGUAGCGGCGAGCGAACGGGGAGCAGCCCAGAGUCUGAAUCAGCUUGUGUGUUAGUGGAACGGUCUGGAAAGUCCGACGGUACAGGGUGAUAGUCCCGUACACCAAAAUGCACAGGCUGUGAACUCGAAGAGUAGGGCGGGACACGUGGUAUCCUGUCUGAAUAUGGGGGGACCAUCCUCCAAGGCUAAAUACUCCUGACUGACCGAUAGUGAACCAGUACCGUGAGGGAAAGGCGAAAAGAACCCCGGCGAGGGGAGUGAAAAAGAACCUGAAACCGUGUACGUACAAGCAGUGGGAGCACCUUCGGGUGUGACUGCGUACCUUUUGUAUAAUGGGUCAGCGACUUAUAUUCUGUAGCAAGGUUAACCGUAUAGGGGAGCCGCAGGGAAACCGAGUCUUAACUGGGCGUUAAGUUGCAGGGUAUAGACCCGAAACCCGGUGAUCUAGCCAUGGGCAGGUUGAAGGUUGGGUAACACUAACUGGAGGACCGAACCGACUAAUGUUGAAAAAUUAGCGGAUGACUUGUGGCUGGGGGUGAAAGGCCAAUCAAACCGGGAGAUAGCUGGUUCUCCCCGAAAGCUAUUUAGGUAGCGCCUCGUGAAUUCAUCUUCGGGGGUAGAGCACUGUUUCGGCUAGGGGGUCAUCCCGACUUACCAACCCGAUGCAAACUACGAAUACCGAAGAAUGUUAUCACGGGAGACACACGGCGGGUGCUAACGUCCGUCGUGAAGAGGGAAACAACCCAGACCGCCAGCUAAGGUCCCAAAGUCAUGGUUAAGUGGGAAACGAUGUGGGAAGGCACAGACAGCCAGGAUGUUGGCUUAGAAGCAGCCAUCAUUUAAAGAAAGCGUAAUAGCUCACUGGUCGAGUCGGCCUGCGCGGAAGAUGUAACGGGGCUAAACCAUGCACCGAAGCUGCGGCAGCGACACUAUGUGUUGUUGGGUAGGGGAGCGUUCUGUAAGCCUGCGAAGGUGACCUGUGAGGGUUGCUGGAGGUAUCAGAAGUGCGAAUGCUGACAUAAGUAACGAUAAAGCGGGUGAAAAGCCCGCUCGCCGGAAGACCAAGGGUUCCUGUCCAACGUUAAUCGGGGCAGGGUGAGUCGACCCCUAAGGCGAGGCCGAAAGGCGUAGUCGAUGGGAAACAGGUUAAUAUUCCUGUACUUGGUGUUACUGCGAAGGGGGGACGGAGAAGGCUAUGUUAGCCGGGCGACGGUUGUCCCGGUUUAAGCAUGUAGGCUGGUUGUCCAGGCAAAUCCGGAUAAUCAAGGCUGAGGUGUGAUGACGAGGCACUACGGUGCUGAAGUAACAAAUGCCCUGCUUCCAGGAAAAGCCUCUAAGCAUCAGGUAACAUCAAAUCGUACCCCAAACCGACACAGGUGGUCAGGUAGAGAAUACCAAGGCGCUUGAGAGAACUCGGGUGAAGGAACUAGGCAAAAUGGUGCCGUAACUUCGGGAGAAGGCACGCUGGUGUGUAGGUGAAGUCCCUGCGGAUGGAGCUGAGACCAGUCGAAGAUACCAGCUGGCUGCAACUGUUUAUUAAAAACACAGCACUGUGCAAACACGAAAGUGGACGUAUACGGUGUGACGCCUGCCCGGUGCCGGAAGGUUAAUUGAUGGGGUUAUCCGUAAGGAGAAGCUCUUGAUCGAAGCCCCGGUAAACGGCGGCCGUAACUAUAACGGUCCUAAGGUAGCGAAAUUCCUUGUCGGGUAAGUUCCGACCUGCACGAAUGGCGUAAUGAUGGCCAGGCUGUCUCCACCCGAGACUCAGUGAAAUUGAACUCGCUGUGAAGAUGCAGUGUACCCGCGGCAAGACGGAAAGACCCCGUGAACCUUUACUAUAGCUUGACACUGAACAUUGAGCCUUGAUGUGUAGGAUAGGUGGGAGGCUUUGAAGCGUGGACGCCAGUCUGCGUGGAGCCAACCUUGAAAUACCACCCUUUAAUGUUUGAUGUUCUAACGUUGGCCCCUGACCGGGGUUGCGGACAGUGUCUGGUGGGUAGUUUGACUGGGGCGGUCUCCUCCCAAAGCGUAACGGAGGAGCACGAAGGUUAGCUAAUCCUGGUCGGACAUCAGGAGGUUAGUGCAAUGGCAUAAGCUAGCUUGACUGCGAGCGUGACGGCGCGAGCAGGUGCGAAAGCAGGUCAUAGUGAUCCGGUGGUUCUGAAUGGAAGGGCCAUCGCUCAACGGAUAAAAGGUACUCCGGGGAUAACAGGCUGAUACCGCCCAAGAGUUCAUAUCGACGGCGGUGUUUGGCACCUCGAUGUCGGCUCAUCACAUCCUGGGGCUGAAGUAGGUCCCAAGGGUAUGGCUGUUCGCCAUUUAAAGUGGUACGCGAGCUGGGUUUAGAACGUCGUGAGACAGUUCGGUCCCUAUCUGCCGUGGGCGCUGGAGAAUUGAGGGGGGCUGCUCCUAGUACGAGAGGACCGGAGUGGACGCAUCACUGGUGUUCGGGUUGUCAUGCCAAUGGCACUGCCCGGUAGCUAAAUGCGGAAGAGAUAAGUGCUGAAAGCAUCUAAGCACGAAACUUGCCCCGAGAUGAGUUCUCCCUGAGACUUUAAGUCUCCUGAAGGAACGUUAAAGACGAUGACGUUGAUAGGCCGGGUGUGUAAGCGCAGCGAUGCGUUGAGCUAACCGGUACUAAUGAACCGUGAGGCUUAACCUU